GACGAACUGUGCAAACGUUUAUUCGGAAUCACUGGGCUUAAAGGGUGCGUAGGCGGUCUUGUAAGUAGGGUGUGAAAGCCCCCGGCUCAACCGGGGAACUGCGUCCUAAACUGCGAGGCUAGAGUGAGGUAGGGGUGUGUGGAACUUCCGGUGUAGCGGUGAAAUGCGUAGAUAUCGGAAGGAACACCAGUGGCGAAGGCGGCUUUCUGGGCUCAUACUGACGCUGAGGCGCGAAAGCGUGGGGAGCAAACAGG
rnacentral:rRNA from 1 species